UCCCUAGUGGUUCAGUGGUUAGGACUCAGCACUUUCACUGCCAGGCCCUGGGUUCAAUCCCUGGUCAGGGAA
rnacentral:tRNA from 1 species